AUAGGACAGAAUGAAAAGCUGCAUUGGAAAACAAAGAUAAAGUUAGGAACCAAGACAAGACAAAACACAGUAACAAAACAAAGCAUAAGUAAUCCUGUAGAAAUAACGUAAAUGAUUAUGCAAACAUAAGAAACAUAAAUACCGUCGGAUGCGACAAUAACAAGCGACAACUAUCAUAUUACCAACCAAGAGGGGACCUACGCUAAAACNNNN
rnacentral:lncRNA from 1 species